rnacentral:lncRNA from 1 species
UCUGUCUUUUUUUUGUAUCCAGGACAUGAUCCAGAUCGACCAACAGCGUUCUAGGCUCGGCAAGCCACAUGGUAAGAGGUGACCCGGCAGCGGAGCCCAAGGCGAGGGCCAGCCGGCCAGGCGCUGGGCAGCGACGACAGGAACGCGCCCCAGGCGGCGGCGGUGCCCAGCGGCCUCGUCCAUGAGGUAAGGGCGGCAGCGCGUGCCCUAGACAGAGGGCAGCGAUAUGGUGAGUCAGGUGAGAGGCAACA